AAGGGCACCACAAGCGCGUGGAGCAUGUGGCUUAAUUUGACUCAACACGGGAAAUCUUACCGGGUCCGGACGUAUCGAGGAUUGACAGAUAGUUAUACAUGCCCUACAAGCAAGUAGGAGUCAGGUUUUAAACCUAAUGGCUCUUUCAUGAUUAUAUGAUAGGUGGUGCAUGGCCGUUCUUAGUUCGUGGAGUGAUCUGUCUGCUUAAUUGCGUUUCAAAUUUUUAACCGAGGACCGGGUUUUGGUUUGGCUAGUGGUCCUACGAUGACUGUGAACUGUCAUGUCUUCGGAUGUACGACUAUCGGUCUAGGAUCACAUGACUUGCCCCUGGGACUCUUUUGAACGCAACGGACGUGAUUGCAACCCCUUGUUGAGAUUAGAGAUAGUCUCGAUAUUCACUGGCCAAACUGGCUGCUUUAUGCAGUCUUGUUGAAUGGUGGAUAAACUCGGGGGACUGCUGACUAUAACCAUUUCUCAAAACAGAGGAAGGUUGCGGCAAUAACAGGUCUGUGAUGCCCUCAGAUGUCCCGGGCUGCACACGUGCUACAAUGAGUGGCGCAAUGUGCUAAUGUUUUAAGGGAUAAGCGUGCGGCCAGUAGAACGUCGGCAAUUGCCCUGGCGUCUUCUACCGCACGAUUAUCAGCCUUCCCUUAACAGGGCGGGCAACCUUUUCAAAAUACCGGUUUGAUGUUAAAGUAUAGAGUCGUUUUUUUUGGAUGGUGGUUUACGAACCAAUACCAUCCGCAACUGCUCGCGAGUUUGUGGUUCUGGUGACUCAUGGUGGGGACCGAUGUUUGUAAUUGUUUGUCGCGUGUCAACUAGGAAUGCCUUGUACUGUCGAUUCACUAAGUUAUUGGGAAUACGUCCCUGCCCUUUGUACACACCGCCCGUCGCUCUUACCGAUGGCUUUGUGUGUGAGUAAGACGGACAAUUAAGCUGGAAAUUUGUCGAAUGCAUUGGGCUAAAGGAAAGAGAAGUCGUAACAAGGCAUCAGUAGGUGAACCUGCUGAUGGAUCA
rnacentral:rRNA from 1 species